CCACAUGGUACGUGUGGGCCACAGCGGGAGCCACCAGGCCACACGACAGAAUCCAGAUCCCAGAGAGAAGAUACGUGCAGGCCAGAACUGAGAUGCGCUUCUUCAGGGGGUGGACCGUGGCGUAGUAUCUGGAAGACCUCGCCUCCAUCCGAUCAAGUCUACAUGAAUGGGUCUGCAUCCAAACCCCACGAUAAUAUCAAGGGCUUUUAAAGACAGUAUUCAUGUAGUCUUCAUCACGUGUAAAAGCACAGAAGAUGAACCACCAGACGAUGUGCAGGAGAUGAUGGCCCAGUCUGCGCAUAACCCUUCACUGUAAGUUCUUUCAAGAUCUCACAGACGAUUGGAUAUACCGAACGAAUACACACAUGUCGUUCAUGAACAAAUGAGGACAGUCAUUUGGGUAUUAUCCUGCACUGACGGCAGAAGGAGUAUUCUGACGGUUUUCAUCCAAAAUAUCUUAAAUCGUGUUCUGAAGACAAACAAGGCUUUCCGGGUCUGGAACGACAUGUAGGUAAGUACUUAAUGACAAAAUGUUCAGUUUUUGGUGGAGUAACCCUUUAAGACAGUGAUGAAUAGUAGCGGUAGAAGACUUGUUAAUACCCUAGAGCUAAACAAUUAGGGCUUGAUAUUUUGUUCCCGAUACUUAAUAUGAGAGAUAGAGAUAGGAAAACUCAAAGUCUAACAUUUUAGCACUAACUUCAGUUUGUUAAUUGAAGAUGCAGUAACAUAAAUCAGUCUAGAUUACGACUGCACGAACCGGCUCGUUUCAAAGGUGGUAAUAAAGCCGAUGGGCCCUCAUUAGGGGCCGGCUGUGAUGCUAAUAAAAGCACACGUGCCGUAAUGUCAGUUUCAUGUGAUGUAAGUUGACUUCCCGGCGUAUAGUUGAUAUUUCCUCCUCACAGAGCUGCAGGUGUUAUCACGAGGGCGUUCGCUCUCUACGUUUCUGCAAGCUUCUGUUUGAAUAGGACAAUCAAACCUGGUUAGCCUUAGGUUAGGUGGUGCAAGGGAACAAUAAUAGCUUUGAAUGUAUUUUCACUAUGAGCUUUUUUUUUGCUUAGAUUUUAAAGUUCACAAAUUGUCGCGGGCCUCAUUCGGUUAGCCCAGAGAGAUGCGAUACUCUCUGUAUUCUGUCUGCGCUUUCGCGUACCUGGAGGUGAGGGGUUGAGCCGGGGCAAAUCUCUAAUGGGUUCGCACUAUGACAGUCAUUAAUUUUCUUCAUUGUUAACCAUGUCAACGAGCACCUGUGAAAUGGAAGCGCAGGGGCAUAAUACAUCCCCUCUCAGCCUGUAUUAUCAGAUACACGGAGCCGCUAGCGCUCCUCUAAUUACAGGACGCACAGAAAGAGGGAGAGAAUGUGGGUGAGACGGGAAAAUCAGAAGCUGUUAUGACUCACCUCGCUAUCGUUUAGGUUUUUAUCUGAAAUAAGAAGAGAACAGUCAGAGAUGAGGAAAAAAAGACAUGUCGAAUUACAUAUAUUCAUUUUAUUUUUAUAAACACUACCAUACAUAUUGAAAAGUCUUUAUUUUUAUAUUAAAUACUAAAAAUUAAACGUUAUGAAGUCCAACGAGAAAAGUUAAGUCCUUCAGGUGACUGGGGGUAAGGUAAUUAUAGCCCUGGAAAAUACCAGUUUUUACUAAUCUUUUAAAAGUUUUCCUUUCUCUUUGGGGUGUUACAAGCUGCGUAGGUAAGAUCCCUAAAGCUGGAAAGACUGAAGUUUCAAAAGCACGGAGAUGUUAUUUAUAAAAGUUGUCCGCACCCCCCUGAAACGACUCGUUUUAAACAGGCCGCAUCACAGAGUGGCUUUAUUUUCAUAAGACCGCGAAGAAAGAAGGCGGAGCUAUAAUUCUCGCUGUAGCGUCGCUGCAUCACUGAUAAAAACGUUUCGCUUGAUUUACUUAAAAAAUAUUAUGAUUUUUUUUUUGCAUAAUUAUAUAUCGUAGUUGAAACAAGACUAGUCUUUGUACAAACUACAUAAUUUUACGGUUUGUUGAAAUAAAAUUUGCACAUAAAGUUAACUUAAUUUUAGCAUUUCUCUAAUCAUUUUUUUUGUGUGUGUGAUCUACGUGACCUUAAUAGCUUUAAAUGUGUAUUUUUGAUUGAUUCCAAUGAAACUUUUACAUUUCCACAUUGCACAUUUCAAGCUAGAUCUACUCCAAUUUUCUAAUUAGUAACAGAGUAUUCUAUUAAAAGUAUGAAAGUAAAUAGUUUAUUUACUAUUUCACCAUUGGUACUUCAAUGGAAUACCAGUAAAAUGUACUCAAAUAUUAAAAUUUUGUUAACAUAAACUGACAUUUUGGCCAUCUCAAAGUGAAUCUGGGUCUGUAUAAAAAUAAUACACAUUAAGACACUAAAGGAAAGCUCAUUAAGUGAAGGUUGACAUGCUUUAUUUUCUCAAUUUUAGGAAUAUACUUAAAACAUUUCCCCUUAAUUCACUUGAUACAUCACAAGAAAUGCAUGCCGUGGCCAUCUACAUGGACAUCUGUCUCAACGUACUGUACCAAUUAAAUUACUUUCUGUAAGGACUUUCUUUAAAUGACAUUGUAUUUUUAAUACAAAACAGUGACAAAACAUUUUCACAGUAACAUGUUCUAAAACAGCAAGCUCACAAACAAUCAUCGUGUGAAAAUGGAGCAGAAGUUCUUUAAAAAAAAAAAUCGAAGUUUCAGUUACUUUGGGUUUCUACUGAAAUUUACAUUGUGCAAAAUUGUCUUCAUUUAAAGCUUCACUUUAAAUGCAUCAGAAACAUCAUGCAUUGUAAACAUAACAGACUCACAAAGUGCAUAAGAGAACUUGAGAAAUUGUAAACUGUAAAACUUCACCAGAACUUAAACCUUCUAGAUUAAACAAUAGCUUAUAGGCCAGAAAGCUGACUUUAAGGUUAUGGACUUUGGGCAGACUUUUUUGAUUUCCAAAAAAAGCCUGUGUGUCAGUUUUUUGGGGUAGCUUAGUGUUAUAACAAAAAGAUAUAAGUUCACAUUGGGCAAAAUUUUUUCAGUGAGUCACGCGUUUCUCACUUCUUCACAGUCAACAAAAACAACAACAACAACAACAACAACAAAAAACAACAACAACAACAACUCACAAACAUGGUCCCCAUAUGAAAAUGUAGUAGUGCAACAUGAAAAAGUGCAUAAGAGAACCUAAGAGAUUGAACUCUAAAACUUUACCAGAGGAACUCAAAAGCCUUUCCUCAAACCUUUCACAAUAUCAGGCAGGCGUCGUGUUCUGGAGACGCUGUGUGCUGUUGUAUAAGUGAAACUAAUUUGUUUGCGUUUCCAAAAGAGGACACAGCUAGAAAUCAGGGGUUAAGUUGUGUUUACAACACGGUUCCAGAACAGUUCGACACAAAUAUUAGAGUCAGCCUGGCGCUUCUGACUCACAACCUUUUAAGCAAGUUAGGUUUUCUUAUUAAAAGAACCUGCUACUUACUAUUCAAACACGAGUUCUGAGCAGCGUAGAGGAAUGCUUGUUGUUUGUUGCUUCUCCGAUCACGAAUACAGACAACUGCAUUAUGUUUACGCGGCACAAUACAACGCGAUACAUAAAAAGUCAUGAUAAUUAAUAAUUAUGUCUCCACUGGAUGCAACAAAUGCCUCGUUUGUAAAGGCUUUUAUUGUUUUUGUAUCAGCCGUACAUUAUUGUUCUGCUUAGAGGAGAAACAAUAAUGUACAGUAUGUGGAAAAUAAUGUGAAUCAAAGUCAGAACUAUUAUAUGUGACCCUGGACCACAAAACUAGUCAGAGGUGUCUUCUGAAAGCUGAAUAAAUAAGAUUUUGAUGUGUGGUUGUUAUGAUAGGAUAAUAUUUGGUUGAGAUACAACCAUUUGAAAAUUUAGAAAAAAAAAAAGAAAAGAAAAAGAUAGUAAAAUAAAUAAAUGUAAAAAUACUGAGAAAAUCACCUUUAAAGUUGUCCAAAUGAAGUGCUUAUUACCAAUCGAUGCAUAAUACUAAUUAAGUAUUCAGUUUUAAUAUAAUUACGGUAUGAAAUGUGCAAAAUAUCUUCAUGGAACAUGAUGUUUACUUAAUAAUUUUGGGGCAAAAAAGAAAAAAUGUAUUUUUGGCUAUUGCUACAAAUACACCUCGGUAACUUAAGACUGGUUUUGUGGUCCAAGGUCUCACGUAUUAUCCUGUUAUAUAUUAUUCUGUAUUGUUCUAUUUUAAAAUAAAGCACAAAGAUCUCA